GAUGAACGCUGGCGGCGUGCCUAAUACAUGCAAGUCGAGCGAACGGACGAGAAGCUUGCUUCUCUGAUGUUAGCGGCGGACGGGUGAGUAACACGUGGAUAACCUACCUAUAAGACUGGGAUAACUUCGGGAAACCGUAGCUAAUACCGGAUAAUAUUUUGAACCGCAUGGUUCAAAAGUGAAAGACGGUCUUGCUGUCACUUAUAGAUGGAUCCGCGCUGCAUUAGCUAGUUGGUAAGGUAACGGCUUACCAAGGCAACGAUGCAUAGCCGACCUGAGAGGGUGAUCGGCCACACUGGAACUGAGACACGGUCCAGACUCCUACGGGAGGCAGCAGUAGGGAAUCUUCCGCAAUGGGCGAAAGCCUGACGGAGCAACGCCGCGUGAGUGAAGAAGGUCUUCGGAUCGUAAAACUCUGUUAUUAGGGAAGAACAAAUGUGUAAGUAACUAUGCACGUCUUGACGGUACCUAAUCAGAAAGCCACGGCUAACUACGUGCCAGCAGCCGCGGUAAUACGUAGGUGGCAAGCGUUAUCCGGAAUUAUUGGGCGUAAAGCGCGCGUAGGCGGUUUUUUAAGUCUGAUGUGAAAGCCCACGGCUCAACCGUGGAGGGUCAUUGGAAACUGGAAAACUUGAGUGCAGAAGAGGAAAGUGGAAUUCCAUGUGUAGCGGUGAAAUGCGCAGAGAUAUGGAGGAACACCAGUGGCGAAGGCGACUUUCUGGUCUGUAACUGACGCUGAUGUGCGAAAGCGUGGGGAUCAAACAGGAUUAGAUACCCUGGUAGUCCACGCCGUAAACGAUGAGUGCUAAGUGUUAGGGGGUUUCCGCCCCUUAGUGCUGCAGCUAACGCAUUAAGCACUCCGCCUGGGGAGUACGACCGCAAGGUUGAAACUCAAAGGAAUUGACGGGGACCCGCACAAGCGGUGGAGCAUGUGGUUUAAUUCGAAGCAACGCGAAGAACCUUACCAAAUCUUGACAUCCUCUGACCCCUCUAGAGAUAGAGUUUUCCCCUUCGGGGGACAGAGUGACAGGUGGUGCAUGGUUGUCGUCAGCUCGUGUCGUGAGAUGUUGGGUUAAGUCCCGCAACGAGCGCAACCCUUAAGCUUAGUUGCCAUCAUUAAGUUGGGCACUCUAAGUUGACUGCCGGUGACAAACCGGGGGAAGGUGGGGAUGACGUCAAAUCAUCAUGCCCCUUAUGAUUUGGGCUACACACGUGCUACAAUGAACAAUACAAAGGGUAGCGAAAUCGCGAGGUCAAGCAAAUCCCAUAAAGUUGUUCUCAGUUCGGAUUGUAGUCUGCAACUCGACUACAUGAAGCUGGAAUCGCUAGUAAUCGUAGAUCAGCAUGCUACGGUGAAUACGUUCCCGGGUCU
rnacentral:rRNA from 1 species